GACGAACGCUGGCGGCGUGCUUAACACAUGCAAGUCGAACGGACAGGCCCUGCUUUUGUUGGUUGCUCGUGUGGCGAACGGGUGAGUAACACGUGAGUAACCUGCCCUUUACUUUGGGAUAACUUCAGGAAACUGGGGCUAAUACCGCAUAUGAGCUCCUGCUGCAUGUUGUUGGUUGGAAAGUUUCGGCGUUUCGGGCUGGACUCGCAGCUUAUCCGCUUGUUUGUCUGGUAGUGGCUUACCAAGCCUUUGAAGGGUAGCCUGCCUUAGAGGGUGACCGGGCACAAUGGGACUAAGAGACGGCCCAGAAGGCUACGGGAGGCAGCAGGGGGGAAUAUUGCAGAAUGGGCGGAAGCCAGAUGCAGCAACGCUGCGAGCGGGAUGACGGCCUUCGAGGGGUAAACAGAUGUCGACUGUGACGAAGAGUGAGUGACGGUAAUGGGUAAAAAAGCAACGGCUAACUACGUG
rnacentral:rRNA from 1 species